AGAUAUGAGGGCGAUCUGGGUGUGACAUCUGUCACCCUAUUGAUCGCCAAGGUUGAUUCGGUUGAUCUGUCUGGCUAGGCGGGUGUCCACUUCCUCCCUCACUGCUUCAUGUGCGUCCCUCCCGAAGCUGCGCGCUGGGUCAAAGAGGACGGCCUUCCCGAAUAGAGACGGACCCUGCUAGAACCU
rnacentral:snRNA from 1 species